CAAUCAUCUCAGUCUGAAGGGUACCCGGGAGUUUGACAGGUGAAGAGACCUCUUUCAGGCAGAGGGAACAAAAUAAGCCACAGUCCUCAUCCUUGAACCAGGUGAGAACUUCUAGCUUACUGGGUAAAGUCCAAUUAACGUGGUGCAGAAUUCCAUCCAUGGCAGGGCUCCUGCUGUCUCCAGCCUCAUCUCCAGGCACACCCUGCACCCUUGAGAAGACAAUGCUUCCGUGUCCACCAGUUCAUUCCUUCCAGACACAUCCCAGUGGUGUCUAGCUCAGGUCUCAGCUCCUGGAAAGGGACAAGGACGCCCCAGAGUCUGCUUUUUUGACACUUACCUUCUGGUCCCCCUGAAAAAUCAUGCUGCAUCACGCCUGCACAUUGUCCUUUCUGCGGAAAUGUCCUGUCUCCCCAUCUCUAUCUGCCAAAGACCCACGCAUAAUGCAAACAAUUCAGGUUUCACCCUUUGCAGUGAACUUUGUACAGCUCUCCCAGGUAAGUGGGCUCCCUGUACUGGUUCCUUGCCCAUGCCUCUCUCGUGUCACUCCCCAGCUGGUAGGGCAAUAGUCCUUGAUCUGUCAGAACUCCUGGUUGAAGUGUAGGUAUCACCUACACACAGUAAGGCUCCUUAGUGUUAUGAAAACCCACUCAUAUGCUGGCACAGAACUCUCUCUUCCCCCAGCAAUUGAUCCAGCAAUUCUCAAUCCAGGCUGCACACUAAAGUCAUCUGGGGAGCUUUUUAAAAAGCACCACUGCCAGGUUUCCUCCCCAGAUAAUCCAGUUUAAUGGGUCUUGGGUGGGGCCCAAGCAUAGGUAUUAUUUACAGGUUCCCUAAGUGAGGCUACUGGACAGCAGGAGUUGAGAAAAACUCAUACAGAGGUACAAAAAUAAAGGCUGGAUGAUGCGGCCCUUCAGGAAGCUCCUGCACAUCUCACCGGCAUAUCGAGGGCAUGAACUAGGUCAUGGGGACGAGGCAGAAUCUCACAGGCACCUCCCUGAUGAAAGUGGCGCGAAGCACUGCCUUGCAGCGUCGCUCUGGGGCCUGUCGUUUGCCUGGGUCUAGCUUAGCAAGGGCAAUGGCAAGAAGGGGUUUGGGAGUUAACAGACUGUUUCAUUCCAAGGGUCAAGAGUUGGUGGUUGGUAGCAGUGAGUGGGUCUAUAUUAGCCUCCUUGCUGGAAGGAGGGCCGGUAACGUUGUCCCCAUAUUUGCCAUCUGAGCGGACACUUCUGGAAUAUUCCAAGAUGUGCCAAUCCUUGGCCCUUGGAAUUAAUAGUCUCCUGACUCCCAAACCCCUUCUUGCCAUUGCCCUUGCUAAGCUAGACCCAGGCAAAAGACAAACCCCAGAGCAACAGUGCGAGGCGGUGCUCCACGCUCCAUCUCAGAGCAGAGCAACCUUAGGACCCCAUUUCAGAAUCCCCUCAAUGAAGUGUAUGGUGGAAGGGCCUGAUUCGUGUCAUGAGAGGUAACAACACCACUACCAACAUCCUGCUUCUCGUCCCCCAGCCCCUGCAAGGGUGCAGUGUGGCUACAGGGGGUGUCUCUGCAGUGAUUCCUCCCUUUACAGGGAAUGAGUCAGGUCCUCUGAAGAAAAGGUGUAAAAAGAAAAAAGAGUGUGUUGUCAAUACUUCAAAGCCUCAGCCAGCAUCAUCUGAUCUAGGAAAGGUGUGAUGGGGUAGGAUAAUCGAUCGCUGCUUAAUUUCCACUGGUUUCUGCAGGGUGCAGACCAGGAAAUUAGACAUUGGGCCUUCCCAGCAGGUCAAGAAACCCAUGUCAGAUACAGCAAAAUCAGCCUCUGUGGCCAGGGGACAGAGGCGUGUGGCGUCUACAAGAAACAAAGAACACAAAGGUUUCCAAGACCAUACUCUGAAAUCUCUGCUCCUUAGAACAGACUCUAAGCUACUACAGAAAAACCACAAGGAAGUUUUCCAUCUGCUUUUUUCCCCUAGUAUCUUCUCCCUAUCUCAAAAACAAAAAAACAAAACAAAACAAAACUUUAAAAAUCCAUGAAGCAUUAGCUAUUUUUAGAAAUUUUAACUUUUCUAUUAUCUAACAAUACAUAUUUCCUGAGCAUUUUAAGUCCAUUUUAAUUUUGUGUACUAUUUAAUGGUAAAUCGUGGUAUAUAUCCUCAACAUAAUACUUCAUAUCCUUGCAGUCCGAUUAUUCAGUCAGCCUUCACUUCUUCAGAUUAAACAAUAUAACUUCAAUUUGCAUAUGUUCUCCAGGUUAUUGCAAAAUAAACCUGUUUCAGUGCAUUUGAAGUAUAGAACAGUGAUCAUUUUAAAUCACACUCAAUUGCCCAGCUUUUCAUUUGAAUAAAAUUCAGGUACCGUUUAGUUCACAAAGAUAAUUUUACUUCAAGAUUUACAGUCGUGCCUCUCAUCUAAAGCAAUCUUCCUCACCCUCUCCCCGGCACUAUUUCUCACCAGCCCUCAAACCCACAAGGCCUCAUUCAAAAAUGAUGAAUCAAGAAGAAAAUAUAAUGUAAAUAGCUGCUGUAUUAGAAAAAUGCACUGGGAAUCUUUGAAAGCCAGGGAGAAUAUAUUAAUAUUCUAUAUUUCUUUUAUCAUACCAAAAAAAAAAAAAAAGGCAGGCUAUGCCUUAGAGCAAGGCUGCAACAGUGUGUCCCAUGUAGGAAAGAUAUUUGCAAGGCCGUCUGGCCUAAAUGCUCACCAUUAACCAAAGCAGGAGCUCUGGGAAGCUCCUGGGAAGUCCAGCCAUGUGGGGCCACCAAAACAUAAUGGAAAAUGCCCACCACACACUACACGCUUCUUCAUUACAUUGGCUCAAUACUGAGAAUGACCGCACAGGACAGCCCUCUUGCAUGACACUAAGGUUUUGUAGGUGAACUGCCACCUGUUAGAUUUCCACUUCCUUUGUUCUCCUACAGUGAGGUCUUUGUCCUGAGUUGAGGGGAGGACAGAUUUUGGUGGGAAGAUGAUCUGAGUUUAAAGGGGCUCUGAGAGAUCCACAUGCAGCUGUCUAGUAGGUUAAUGGGAAUACCCAUCCAACACUCUGGAAAGAGGUCCUUGCUGGAGAUGGAAAUCUAGGGUCCUUCACAUUGGCAUGGUUGUUGGAACCACGGCUGGGUCAGAGUUGUUGAGGAGCACAGACCUCUGAAGGGGGAAGAACAAGGAACCUUGGGAGCACCGAUAAUUGCUGGAUACACGAGCUCUGCGACAGGAAGGCAAGCAUAAGGCUGUCAUGCCAUAAAAACUAAGGCAAGAGAGAGUUUCCAUGCGAGGGAGGGGUCACACGAACUGAAUACAGUCCAAAGGACUGUAGGCAGUGGAUGAUACUAUUUAGGAGGUCUAAAUAUAGCUCUAGUAAUCUCAGCAAGAAUAAGUUACAAUGAAACAAUUACGGGUAAGGGAGAAGCUAGCUAGAUUUCACUGGACUAAAAAGGAGUAAGAAAGGAGUGGCUGGGCACCAUGGCUCACGUCUGUAAUCCCAGCACUUUGGAAGGCUGAGGCAGGCGGGUCACGAGGUCAACAGAUCGAGACCAUCCGGGUGAACAUAGUGAAACCCUGUUUCUACUAAAAAUAGAAAAACUAGCUGGGCGUGGUAGCGCAUGCCUGUAAUCCCAGCUACUCGGGAGGCUGAGGCAGGAGAAUCACUUGAACCCGGGAGGCAGAGGUUGCAGUGAGCCGAGAUCAUGCCAUUAUUGCACUCCAGCCUGGCGACAGCUAGAGACUCUGUCUCAAGAAAAGAAAAAAAAAGAAAGAAAGAAAGGAGUAAAUGGUGCCAGCAAGAUAGCUACAUAGAAUGGAAAGAGCAGGGAGGGCCGUGUGGACACUUAGCUCCUCUGUCUGCAGGUUGUACAACUUCAAUCGUCCGGCAGGCCCGUGAGCACCUUCGGUGUGACAGUCUGUUCAGCACUGGGGCUAUAAAGAUAAACAAGACAAAGUCCAUGUGCUCAAAGAGCUCUCCGUCUGUGAUCCCAGAGAGACAUCUGGACAGAGACGUCAAAAUACAAAACAAUAAAUUCUGGACAGAGCAGUGUUUAGCAUGAAUCGUGAUCUGGAGGACAAAGACACAGUCCUUGCUGUCACGGAGCUCACCAUUGAGGGAUGCCCACAGGCAGCUGAAAUACAGCGGAAGUGAUAAAUCUUUAACAGAGGGUGUUUUACUCGGGGCACCCAGAAAAAAAUGAAAUUUUAACUGCAGAUUCAGGAAGUUAUCCAUGAAAAGGCGGCAGUUGAUUCCAAACUCCAACAAUGCGCUGUCAAGGCUCAUGGGCUGGCUGAGACCGUCACUUCAGGCAGAGGAUGUAGCGUUCUGAGGGGAAGAAAAAGUUUUAAAAAGAAACUUCCAGAGACACUGUCUUGAUGCAAGGAGUAAACAUAAAGUACAAAUCUGGAACACAGCGUCAGACUUAUUAGGAAAGUUACUCGGAUCAGGGCCUCUGAAAUCACCCAGACCCGAGCUCCGUAACUGCUCUGGUAUAGAGCUGGGCUCUGUGCUAUGGAGACAGUACUGACAUUUCAUCUUCCCGAGGCACGUCCCCUGGCUCCGUGAUGUGGCCGUACAACAAGCCUGCCCUUUGUUACGGUGUGUGCACACAUGUAAGUGCUCUCGACAAAUCUGUGUUCCUGCCUCUCCUCCAGUGCUUCUCAGGCAACGACGUUACCCUUGGCCUCAAGGAAAAAAAACAGACACCGUUGGUUGGAGAUUACUGAGUAAACCUACAACGUCCUCAUGCUUAAGGCCCCGUCUGUGAUUCCACCAUGAAGGUCACAUAUCCUCUCUCCUAAAAAGACCUCAUGUCUCCAUUUAAGUAUUUGUUUGGGAAAAUGCUGUAUUGUAUUGAAAUUAUUGUAUAAAGAUAGGGCCUUGGUACAAAAUCUAGGAAUGUGAGGUUUAAACACAGUUGGAUAAAUUUUUAAAAAUCACAUUGCAAAUUUUAAUUAAGGCGAGGGAGCUUAAUUUAAACAAAUAAAUGAUUAGUGUUGACUACCA